AAAAAGAUAGUUUAAUUUAGAAUGAUAGUUUGUGGAGCUAUAGGUAUCAAAUGUUUCUUUUUA
rnacentral:tRNA from 1 species